rnacentral:rRNA from 1 species
ACAUGAUCUGAGUUCAGACCGGUCGCCUGUUUAUCAAAAACAUCGCCUCUUGCAAACAACAAAUAAGAGGUCCCGCCUGCCCUGUGACUAUAUGUUUAACGGCCGCGGUAUUUUGACCGUGCGAAGGUAGCGCAAUCACUUGUCCUUUAAAUGGGGACCUGUAUGAAUGGCACAACGAGGGCUUAACUGUCUCCUCUUUCAAGUCAAUGAAAUUGAUCUCUCCGUGCAGAAGCGGAGAUACUACCAUAAGACGAGAAGACCCUGUGGAGCUUUAGACACCAAAACAGACCAUGUUAAAGACCCUAAAACAAAAGAUCAAACUCAAUGCCCCCUGACUUGAUGUCUUCGGUUGGGGUGACCGAGGAGAAGAACACAACCUCCAUGCGGAAUAGGAGUACUACUCCCACAAUCACGAACCCCCGUUCUAAUUACCAGAAUUUCUGACCCUAUGAUCCGGCAACGCCGAUUAACGAACCAAGUUACCCCAGGGAUAACAGCGCAAUCCCCUUUUAGAGCCCCUAUCAACAAGGGGGUUUACGACCUCGAUGUUGGAUCAGGACAUCCUAAUGGCGCAGCCGCUAUUAAGGGUUCGUUUGUUCAACGAUUAAAGUCCUACAUGAUCUGAGUUCAGACCGGUCGCCUGUUUAUCAAAAACAU